UACGAAGGGGGCUAGCGUUGCUCGGAAUCACUGGGCGUAAAGGGUGCGUAGGCGGGUCUUUAAGUCAGGGGUGAAAUCCUGGAGCUCAACUCCAGAACUGCCUUUGAUACUGAAGAUCUUGAGUUCGGGAGAGGUGAGUGGAACUGCGAGUGUAGAGGUGAAAUUCGUAGAUAUUGCGUAGAACACCAGUGGCGAAGGCGGCCACCUGGGAGGUUACUGACGCUAAGACGCGAAAGCGUGGGGAGCAAACAGG
rnacentral:rRNA from 1 species